CCCUCCGGCUUCCGGGUCGUGGCCAUCGAGCACCUCCAGCUCCACGGCGAAGGGCGUCUGUACGUCCCGCUUCACCAGCCGCAGCAAGGGCUUCUCGGGCUCUAAAGCCCAGAGGAGCCCCAUGGGCUCGAGGCCCGUGAAGCUGCCGCCCAGCGCGGGCGCGCGCUCGAGGUCCAGCUGGCCGUGGGCGUCGGCGCAGUAGCGCGCGUGGGCUCGGAAGAGCUCGUCCUUCUCGUCGCGCAGGGACGCGCGCAGCGUGACCGGUUGUCCCGGGGCCAGGCCGCGCACGGCGAUGCGCACGGGCUCGUCCCAGCGGCAGCGGCCCGCAGGCUCCAGCGUCACCGUCGCCGCCAUCUGGAUCCCAGCAGAGAAGGGGCGGCCCGGCGGAGUCAAGGGUAGGGCCUGGCGUCUCUCCACCUCCCUGGGAGGCAGUCGCAAUUGGAACGUUUGCGCUACUCCCGUUGGGCGGCCGAAGGGACACUUGCUAAACCGCUUUGUGAAGUCUCCCGGAGUUUGUGCAGUCCACUACUGCCUGCCUGGAAGAGUAUCUGCUAAAAUAAGAGUUUUAUGGUUUCAACUCAGAGGGUGGAACCAAGAGCUACAGAGAACAACUCACAGAGAGUAAACUGAGCACCAAUGGAAGAAUUGGCAACAUGUUCUCAGCUGGAUUUCAGAAUGGCUAGGGGCCAGUGAGUGUCGUGCGCCUCCCAUAUUCCCCAUUAUUGAACAGGAAUAUCUGUAAGGACACAGGAAGAAGGCAGCCGUCUGUAAGCCAGGAAGAGGCGCCACCAGGAACUGAAUCUGCCAGAACGUUGAUCUUGGACUUCCCAGCCUCCAGAACUGUGAGAAAUAAAUGUCUGUUGUUUAAGCCA